UGCGCCCAAGAAAAAAAAUAUAUAUUGAAACUGAUAGGAAACAGUUAGGGCGGGGGGAGAGCUGCGAGACGCGCGACAGACAUCCGCGCGGUUUAUCCCAGAGUCAGUUUUUCACGGUUCCUGGGCAUGAUGUGUCGACAACGAUAUAACAGACCGCACCUUUACAUCUUGAGGGGUCUGCCUGGAUCAAGAAAAUCAAAAUUAGCGCGGAAAAUAUUGAAUGAAAAAUACGGCGGACGUGGAGCGAUAUUCAGCACUGACGACUAUUUUAAAAACGCAAGCGGCGUCAUGGUUAACUUUGACGAAAGUGAACUGGAUUACGCCCAUGAAAUUAAUAUAAUGAAUGCAAAACGGGCUAUGCGAGACGGAAUAAAUCCUGUCAUCAUCGACAAUACCAACAUAUUUCGCUGCGAAAUGAAACCAUAUGUGAUACUGGGUCUUCGCUACGGUUACCACAUAAGAUUUCGAUUCCUGAAAGACAGCUGGAAAGUUAGUGUUGAGACUUUGCACCGACGAACCAAUGGGAAGGUGCCCUUGGAGAAGAUGAUAAAGAUGAAGGAAAAUUACGAGUUUAUUAACAACAUUUUCGAUGUGCUGAGGAGCAGGUCCUGGAGAAGGAAGUAGACCGUUGCAGACCUGCAGACAAAAUUCUGUGUUAAAAUUUUAACUGCCUUAAAAUAGUUAGCCUUUUUUUCUGCGACAUUACAUUACUUUUAUUUGGCAGACGCUUUUAUCUAAACCGACGUGCAGUAAGUGCAUACCGAAGCUCAUUGUAACAACUACAGAACACAAGUACAAUACUCAUUAUGUUACAGUUAUCCAUAGCCAUGAACACAUUAAGUCCAGUUCACACAGCAAGCGUAGGGUAGGUCAGAAAGUUAUGGUCAGUCAAACUAGGCGGCAUGACGACGAGCUACAACAUUAAAAUAACGAUACAAGUUGUCUGCUGUUGCUACCCCUUCAGAUUGCACCUCAGUACAUCUACAAUGGAACGAGGGGGCAGUGUAGUAUGAUGGGUAAGGAACUGGUCUUGUUGCCUGAAGGUCACUGGUUCGAUUCCCUGGGUAGGACACAGUCGUUGUACCCUUCGGGUGCUUAACCUGCAUUGAUUAUAUAUCCAGCUGUUUAAAUGGAUGCAGCAUAAAAAUCCUUUAUAAAAGUUGUCCAGAGCAUCUGCUGUAAUGUCAUUUUUGUUUGUCUGUGGAAGAAAGGGAUACACCUGGGUGCCCGUGGGAUGGGGAGGGGGUUAUGUUGUGUUUUCGUAUGUGUUUCCUGCCACACGCCAUCAUACCCAGCACAAGCUGGACAUAAAAGACAUAUUACAGAAGGAGAACCCUCCAUUUUGGAGGACAUUGACUGGUGGUACCACAAGGGUUCAGUGAUGAUGAUGACGACUAUAUUGUGAUCUAAACAACAAUAAGAUCACAAAAGGAGGUUGAGAACUGAGACCUUUAGCACAUGCAAUAUGAAUAACACGCCCCAAUGACUGGUGCAAAACAAAUACCAAUGACAAAUCAAAAGAAGGUUUUGCGAAUGCUAAAUCAGGCCCUGAGUGUGUGUGUGUGUGUGUGUGUUGUGACUAAUUCCAAUGACGGAAGAUUAUUUGCCAGGAAGCCAGCUGGCUGUGGCUAAUGGCUGACUGAGGGUACUUUCCACUGGUUGUUUUUGAAAUUGCCAAAUUGCCAAAUUACCAAUGGAAGGGAAUGCCAGAUCACCGACAUCACAGAAAACAACAACUCUUAAGUUUUGUUUUUCAAACACUGGGUAUCGAUAAUCAUACUGAACAAAACUUACUGAUUUUUAAAGGUCUUAGUAUAUCAGCCCCUGUGUGUGUGUGUGUGUGUGUGUGUGUUCUGGCUAAUUCCAAUGACAGGUGUAAAAAGAGGCAGGACUGAAGAGGGAAGGAUAUCUUUAUUAUGACUGAAGUGAAUAUUGCGGUAAAUGUUCAGGCAUUCCAUUGAAUGGGGGCCUGGGAUUCUCCUGUCUGUUAAAAUACAGAACCCUGCAUGUUCUGAGUCCCCAGGGGAGCAGAAAGCCUAAUUACCAACAGCAAAAAUGAGUGGCGGUUUACAAUAGGUACAGCUUCACAGCUUACAAUAAAUUACUUGAAACGUCUUUCCCCAACUUUAGCAUGUUUAUCCAUUUAUUCUGAGCUGAAAUGUGCUACACAAACAUGUGAGUAAAAAAAAAAAUUAUAGCUAUAUCCUGUGAUGACGAUGAUGAUGAUUGUGAAUUGCCAAUGUCUUUUGACUCCACGGUGCACCCGUUCGGCUCAGGCAUUAAGCUGGAGUUCUGCGCUCCAGCCUAUCCUGGAAGACUGGGGCCACCCUCCAAAAGAGGGGUCACCGGCACCCCAUGAAUCAGGGACGUCCCGCGGUACUGAAAACCCUCCCGACCAGUCUUUAAGUUUCCGUCGAGCGUUUCGCCAACAUUAGGUCGCGCAAAAAAAAAAAAAACGCUAACAAUCUCCCCCCCCCCUCCUGCAGUAGGGAAGUUAAGAGGAGAGCCGACGUGAGCGCGGUGACACAAAGGGCUGUCGUUGGACGGAAGAACGGAAAAAGGUUCUGAAAAUGGCUUCAAGAGUUCGACGUCGCAACAGGCCGCACCUUAUCAUCAUGAGGGGCCUGCCGGGGUCCGGGAAGACGACAUUAUCAUGGAGGGCCAAUUGCGGCAUAACAAAGAGGGUGAUGUACAGGAUGAAGAAGAACUUCGAACAAGUUGAAACCAUUUACGACGUCCUAAAUGACCCAGGAUAAGAGUAGAGGGGUCAUCGACGUCCCCUCCCCCCUUCCCCCCGGCUCGAACCGUCGGCAGAAGAAGCGCUCUUUUCGACUAUUUAGCAAAGCAAAUGAGAUGUUCACGCUAGAAGGCUUCAGGCAAAGCGGACCUUGUUAGCAAACGUGUCCGUCGCGAUAGAUUAUUGGUGGCAGAAAAAGUAAUAAAGCAAGAUUGAUCAGGCUUUGGCAAUCUGUUGCAACCGCUAUUUAAUGCUUAUUAAUUGGUGUGUUUAUCUACUGUGGUGAGGGAGUCCUGGUACCUCCUGGUACUUAGGCCUACAUGGCUAUCAUAGGCCUGGCAUUGACAAGGGAAGGGAACUGGGAUGUCUCAAGGGCAUUUUCUGUUCUGACGUUAUCGUAUUAUAAUAUAUAGCCACACCUAAGCUUGCAAGGGCACGCAUGUAAAUCCCACGCAUAAUAUUACGUAGUCACACAUAAAACGCUUGCACAGACACAAAUUUCUCUCUCACACACACCGGGGGUGGGUCUGAUCAUCUCCAGAUGGAGUUUGGGCCCAGGUAAUCUCCUGUGCUAAUGGUAAUCUAAUUUGUUCUCCACUGUGCUGUUAAUGUUUGGGAGCCUAUAUGCAUCAGGGUUCAGUGUCUCUUAAGGCCAUAUCGAACGUGGAAGUAUACCAGACACUUGAACUCAUCUUUUCUGCUAGCAAUCACAGCUGCUGGUUUCCUGCCCUGGCCAGGAAGCCAGCAUUAAGCUGGCUGUGGCUAAUGGCUGACUGAGGGUACUUUCCACUGGUUGUUUUUGAAAUCACCAAAUUGCAAGGUGUUGUGAACGGAAGAGAACGUCAGAUCACCGACAUCACGGAAAACAACAACAAACACUCUGGGGAUAGAUAGUCAUGCUGAACAAAACUUACUGAUUUUUAAGUCUUAAAAUUUUUUUUUUUUAAAUUAAAAAUAUAUUCUCAGGUCACAAGCGGUAGAAACCUGUCAUCACAAAUCAAAUAAUUAUUUGGGGGGGGGGGGGGGGGGGGAAGAAAUGAAAAGCGAAAUUGAAUCAUUAGGCAUUAGUCCUCUAAAAAUACUGCACAUUUUGUUUUUAAACUGACAAGCCUUACGCCUCGCACCUGGGCUACACCGUUGACCAGGGGGCAGUCAAUCUUACCCAGAAAGGGCCAGUCCAGGUACAGGCUUUAGUUCCAACCGAGCAGUUACUCACCUGAUUCUAAUAAUCAAGGUGCUUAGCAAAGACUGUAGUGGCUGAUUAGCAGAAUCAGGUGUGUAACUGUGUUGUUGGAACGGAAGCCUGCUCCCACACCGGCCCUUUCUGGUUCUGGUUAAGAUUGAGGCUCCCUGCCAUACACUGUAGAGAAAAUUGGCUACACUAGGUUACGGUGUGUCAUAAAUAAAUUUUAAAAAUCAGACUACGGAAGUAUUUUCUCCCGGUAGGUGUCGGUGUUGUCUCAUUUUUGGAACUGGUCUCUCUUGGAUGGGGCUGCGCACCGGCAGACGGUGCUAUGUGCCCGUGACCAGCUCUGUGUUGGUUGGAUCGGUGCUACCAGGAACACAUUGCGCCAUUUUGAAGCCAAGAGGAGGGUCAAUUAUGCACAAGAGAGACAACUGACUAAUAUACACCCAAUCAGGUAGGAUUGCGUGGUGACCACGUCUGACCGGACAGCUGCUAAAUGUACUCCAAUGCAUUGAGGUAAAUGUCGCAAUCGGUAGUGUUUUCUUUGUUCUGGUAAGCAAGUACAGUUACAGUGUUUACUAGCUAGAUAAUGUUUCAGAGCACACGGGGGAUAUGUAGUUUAACUGACGUUAGUUGCAUUGUAUUGCCCAUUUACUUUGUUCAUAAAAUAGCAUGUCAAAUUGCCAAUCUUAUUCUUGCAGUGGUAGCAAAGCAAUAAACGGAAUUAGACAGCAUUUAUGAUAGCUAAUACUGUAAUGUAUGCCAAGCUGUCUAACGUUAGUUGACUAAACCAGAAAUUCUUCUCCAGUAAUACACUUGGCUGGCUUGGUUUCUGAAUAACAGUGUUUGGUGUUUAACGGUAGCCGUUGUCAGUUCUGUUUUGCUGGUUGGUUGUCCGACGCUGUUCUCGUCGGAGAAGCCUCUUGACUGCGUUACAGUAGCAGUAUGGGAUUUGGAUGCGCGCGACAAUAAUAAUGCUGUUGAAAAAUGGCAAAGAUGUUACUGAUUAGCUUGCAAAAUGUGGACAAAACAUGUGCCCUGUAUACAAAACUGCAACUUUAAAAUUUAAUCGCGACUGCACGUUUGUUGGCAGAUGAAUUUCUUUGUUUCACGUAUGUUUGUGCUGUUGUUUUACAGUUGUCGAAACCUUGCGAUUUGCACCGUUAUCAGCGUUGGCAACCUUGUACUGCUGUAACUUUUAUUUAUUAAAUAAAAGCUUUAUAACAUUG